CAAAAGGAUUUUACUGCUUGCGGG
rnacentral:siRNA from 1 species